GCUGAAAGCUUGCUUUUUUCGCGUCUAUAAGACACUAAUCAAUCCGACUUUGCUUGUUUAAUACUAUUGAGCAUGAAGAGCAUUGUAGCAGGGUUGAUGAAAAUACAAUUGGGGAUUGUGCUCAAUUCGUAUUUGCACCUAUUGAUGAAUCAUCUGUUGAUGAUGCUUUUUUACUCCCUUUUGGAUUUUGUGUCAUACCAUUGGAUCCUAAAACACUACCAUGACUCACCAGUAUGUGCGUUAGUGUUGUGGGGUAUGUUUAGAGGGUUGCAAUGGCAAUUGCUUCGUCUAGGCUCAGUAUUCAACUGGGACUAAAGUCUCUCCCUGGUUCACCGGAGGCUCUUACUUUGGCAAGAUAGAUCAGCC